GAAACGCGAUAGUUAAUGUGAAUUGCAGAAUUCAGUGAAUCAUCGAGUCUUUGAACGCACAUUGCGCCCAUAGGUAUUCCUUUGGGCAUGUCUGUUUGAGCGUCAUUACAACCCUCAGCUAACCGUUGGUUUUGAACCUGAACGGGUGACACCGCGCCGGUUUUAAAGUUGUAAGCUCUGCUGGCCGCUCUGCCCAACCAGAACAUAGUAAGCACUACUUGUCCGGGUGAAGCUGAACGGUACGGCCUGAACAAAACCUACCCACUCUCAAGGUUUGACCUCAGAUCAGACAAGGAUACCCGCUGAACUUAAGC
rnacentral:misc_RNA from 1 species